GACAGAGGCCUCAAGCGUUAGGCGGAAUCACUGGGCUUAAAGCGUGUGUAGGCGGAUCGUUAAGUGUCUUGUGAAAUCCCACGGCUCACCCGUGGAACUGCUUGGUAUACUGUCUGUCUUGAGGCAUCUAGGGGCAACUGGAACAAACGGUGGAGCGGUGAAAUGCGUAGAUAUCGUUUGGAACGCCAAUGGUGAAAACAGGUUGCUGGGGAUGUUCUGACGCUGAGACACGAAAGCCAGGGGAGCAAACGGG
rnacentral:rRNA from 1 species